GGAGGAAGUAAUCAGCACAUCAGCUGUACGAUUCUGUCAUAUUUCUGAUAUUAUAAUAAACAGGACUGAUUUCCCUGCAGAAACUCCAGCAGUGAGAGAGAGAGAGAGAGAGAGAGAGAGAGAGAGAGAGAGAGAGAGAGCGGUCAGUCAUGCAGUCCUGCAGUUCUGCUCUCUGUAUCCUGAUCUUACUGAUCUCUACAUUCACUACUGUGUCUGUAUCAGCUGGUCCUUCAAUGAAGGUGAAAUGAAGUGGGAAGGCCUUGCAUAUUUCAGCAAGACAAUAAACCACAUACUGC